CAGUCGCCGCGGUAAGACGAACCGUGCGAACGUUAUUCGGAAUCACUGGGCUUAAAGCGCGUGUAGGCGGGAGGGCACGUCCGUCGCUGAAAUCCCCCGGCUCAACCGGGGAACGGGCGCGGAUACGACUCUUCUGGAGGAACGUAGGGGGACCUGGAACUUCCGGUGGAGCGGUGAAAUGCGUUGAGAUCGGAAGGAACGCCCGUGGCGAAAGCGAGGUCCUGGACGCUUACUGACGCUGAGACGCGAAAGCCAGGGGAGCGAACGGGAUUAGAUACCCCGGUAGUCCCUGUCUCUUAUA
rnacentral:rRNA from 1 species